CAUUUUGCGGUGCGGUUUGAUGCGAUUGGUGUGGUUUGAAAAAAAUGCAAACCGCACCGGGAACAAAUCAAAUUUCGGAAAAAACCCUUGUCGGCCUUACCACCCAUGUCUAAGUCGCCAAUCGCAACAGUAAUAAUCUGAUGUGGAGAUCACCGGAGUUAUAAUUUUUCUCGGCACAAAUGAUUAGAGUUGUUGUUUUUCAAAGGAUCCCGAUGUAAUCAUCGGCGUUGAUCUGAUAAUCAUCAUCGGGGCUACUCCUUCAAUUCCAUGCAUGAUUUCAAUCAGAAUUGCUUUUUGUUACAUGAUUAAUUUCGAAUUGGAUUGAAAUUUAGCAAAAGUACUUUCCAUCGAGGUUCAAUGCGAGAAACCAAAAAUCAAUGGGCUCGUGAUAAUCCUGCUCCUCUUGUUAUCUACAUCUUUCUGUUAUAGUAGUUUUGAAUUUGGCCUAUUGUGUUGCGUAAGUCUCUAAGACUCUAACUUCUACUUUUCUUUUGCCAUUCAAUUGUUUUAUGCCACACGAUUGUAGCAGUCUUAUGAAAAAUAUUGUUGAAAUUGCAAUUUAAAACAUUAAUAAGUUGGCAAGUCCACUUUAGCUUUCAAGAGUAGAAUACACGCACUAUCUUUGGUGUGCUCUUUUUUUAUUAUAAAUUUAAGGAAAAUAUUGAUGCGAGUUACUUUGUCAUGUUUGCUUCUAAAUAAUAAUUGUUCAGAGUAUUUACUCCUCUAAUAGUAGUAGUUCAUUCAUGAAAAUAUUGAUAAUUUAAUUGAUUUUGGUUGUAUUUUUUAAAAUGUUUAAUUGGAGCUUUGGACAUUGGGUUCCAUAUUAUGUGAGCCCCUCCUCCC